rnacentral:rRNA from 1 species
CGAACGUUGGCGGCGUGCUUAAUACAUGCAAGUCAACUGAAGCAGUGGUAGCACUAUCGCUGUGGAGGUGGCGCACGGGUGAGUAACACGUAGGUAAUCUGCCUUCAGGUCUGGCAUAACUCCGGGAAACCGGGGCUAAUAGCAGAUGAUGCAGCGGCUCGACAUCGAGACAGUUGUUAAAGCUAUGGCGCCUGAAGAUGAGCCUGCGUCUGAUUAGCUAGUUGGCGGGGUAACGGCCCACCAAGGCAACGAUCAGUAGCUGGUCUGAGAGGAUGAUCAGCCACACUGGAACUGAGACACGGUCCAGACUCCUACGGGAGGCAGCAGUAAGGAAUAUUGCUCAAUGGGAGAAAUCCUGAAGCAGCAACGCCGCGUGAGGGACGAAGGGCUUUUGCUUGCAAACCUCUGUAGUGAGAGAAAAAAAUCCCAAUCUUUGGGACAUGAUGGUAUCUCAAAAGUAAGCCCCGGCUAACUACGUG